rnacentral:rRNA from 1 species
AUUGAACGCUGGCGGCAGGCCUAACACAUGCAAGUCGAGCGGAUGAAGGGAGCUUGCUCCUGGAUUCAGCGGCGGACGGGUGAGUAAUGCCUAGGAAUCUGCCUGGUAGUGGGGGAUAACGUCCGGAAACGGGCGCUAAUACCGCAUACGUCCUGAGGGAGAAAGUGGGGGAUCUUCGGACCUCACGCCAUCAGAUGAGCCGAGGUCGGAUUAGCUAGUUGGUGGGGUAAAGGCCUACCAAGGCGACGAUCCGUAACUGGUCUGAGAGGAUGAUCAGUCACACUGGAACUGAGACACGGUCCAGACUCCUACGGGAGGCAGCAGUGGGGAAUAUUGGACAAUGGGCGAAAGCCUGAUCCAGCCAUGCCGCGUGUGUGAAGAAGGUCUUCGGAUUGUAAAGCACUUUAAGUUGGGAGGAAGGGCAGUAAGUUAAUACCUUGCUGUUUUGACGUUACCAACAGAAUAAGCACCGGCUAACUUCGUG